CCUACGGGGGGCAGCAGUGGGGAAUAUUGCACAAUGGGGGAAACCCUGAUGCAGCGACGCCGCGUGAGUGAGGAAGUACCUCGGUAUGUAAAGCUCUAUCAGCAGGGAAGAAAAUGACGGUACCUGACUAAGAAGACCCGGCUAACUACGUGCCAGCAGCCGCGGUAAUACGUAGGGGGCCAGCGGUAUCCGGAUUUACUGGGUGUAAAGGGAGCGUUGAGGGGAUUGUAAGGCUGGUGGGAAAACCCGGGGCUCAACCCCGGGAGUGCAGUGGAAACUGGUGAUCUAGAGUGUCGGAGAGGCAAGCGGAAUGCCUGGUGUAGCGGUGAAAUGCAUAGAUAUUAGGAGGAACACCGGUGGCGAAGGCAGCUUGCUGGACGAUGACUGACGUUGAGGCUCGAAAGCGUGGGGAGCAAACAGGAUUAGAUACCCGGGUAGUC
rnacentral:rRNA from 1 species